rnacentral:lncRNA from 10 species
AUCAUCCUGGCAGGAGAAGGACCCUGUGGGGUGUGCUCUGCCCCUCACUCCCACCCCAGCCUGUGACCUAAGAGCUCCGGAUGGGACAUCCAAAGGCGUGACCUCCUGUUGGCUCCUACAUCUGGGGCCAUAUGUCCCAAGGUCCCACGUGCCCUGGCCAGCGCCCCUUGGAGCCCUCACCCGCCCUCCCUGACUCCCUAGGGAGAGUGUGGACCGCCCCGCCUGCUGCAGAGGUGGUGGGAAUGGCAUUGCGCCCAGCACACCCACCAGGAGGCCGGACAACCCGUCGGCCAGGGUACGCUCUGCCCGAGAGCCCCAGGCAUGCCCGGCUUGGACCUCAGCCACUCUGUGCAGGCUGAGGUCCCGGCAUAGCCUGGCCUCCCCGUCCAGCCCCCAAGCCAGGCUUUGAUGUCCUCCCUGGAAGGAAGGAGCCCCUGAAGGGUCCAGCCCGAGGCCCAGCUGUGCCGUGGCUGCCCCCUGGCCACACGUCCCCGUGUCUCCAGCUGCCGAGAAGCUCUCCCCUUCCCUGGCUCUUGUCCUGGUGUCUCUCCGGGGCAGGUCUUUGGGGAGAGGCCUAGUCAGGCCCAUGUGCCCCGCCAGCCCGGCAGCUGCCUCCUGUCACACACUGGGCACGGCGAGCGUCACGUCUCCACUUUACAGAUGAGGAAACCGAGGCUCUGGUGCCUUGGCUAACUCAGGGUUUAGGUUUAAAGCCAGAUGGACUGGUCUUCAAAGCCCGGCUGCCCUGCCCCUGCCAGUCCUUCCUGGGCCACACAGCACUGGCUUCAUCUCUGCUUCCUGGAAUUGGAGAGGCUUGGCUGGUCCUUCCGUCCUCACUCGCUCCCUGAGCUGUGUGGGCUCCCCGGGCCUCAGCAGCCGGUGCCAACUCAGCUCUCACUGUCACCUGGUGUCAUGCGCUGUCUGGCCGGGUCCCAGCAAAUGCCCAGGAGGACUCUCAGCUGUCCUUGGGUGGGUACAGCCGCACGGCCACCACCGGCCCAGCACUCCCUGCCCCUGGUAGCUGAGGGCAUCUCAAGGGUCAGACAGGGCGCUGGCCAUCCCUACACAACAGAACCAGGCUCCCAGUCCCUCACCACACUCUUGGGAUAAACCCAGCAGAGCCCAUGCCAGCCCUCCCUGGGUGAGAAGCACUCAUUUUAGAGAAAAUCUCUUUUCUAGGCUGGGCGCGGUGGCUCACAUCUGUAAUCCCAGCACUUCGGGAGGCCGAAGCGGGC